GAACGCAGUAGCAAUACUGAGUGGCAAACGGGUGAGUAUAAUGUGGGAAUCUGCCUUUUGGUUCGGAAUAACACGAGGAAACUUGUGCUAAUACCGGAUAAGUCCUUACGGAGAAAGUUUUAAUGCCAAAAGAUGAGCCCGCAUUUGAUUAGCUAGUUGGUAAGGUAAAAGCUCACCAAGGCGAUAAUCAAUAGCUGAUUUGGGAGGAUGAUCAGCCACACUGGGACUGAGAUACGGCCCAGACUCC
rnacentral:rRNA from 1 species